rnacentral:rRNA from 1 species
AACGCUGGCGGCGUGCCUAACACAUGCAAGUCAACUUGACUGAAGGAGCAAUCUGACAGUAGAGUGGCGCGAGGGUGCGUAACGCGUAAGUAACUUGCCCCAAGGUAAGGAAUAACGUCGAGAAAUCGGCGCUAAUACCUCAUAAUGCAGCGGAUCCGCAUGGAUAUGUUGUUAAAGGUUUACCGCCUUGGGAUAGGCUUGCGUCUGAUUAGCUAGUUGGUGUGGUAACGGCACACCAAGGCUACGAUCAGUAACUGGUCUGAGAGGAUGAUCAGUCACACUGGAACUGAGACAUGGUCCAGACUCCUACGGGAGGCAGCAGUGAGGAAUAUUGGGCAAUGCUCGAAAGAGUGACCCAGCAACGCCGCGUGGAGGAUGAAGGUAUUCUAUAUCGUAAACUCCUGUGAGAGCAGACGAAAGACAGAUUAUUAAUCUGGAUGACUGUAUGCUCAGAGGAAGCCCCGGCUAACUACGUG